GUGGGGAAUAUUGCACAAUGGGCGCAAGCCUGAUGCAGCCAUGCCGCGUGUAUGAAGAAGGCCUUCGGGUUGUAAAGUACUUUCAGCGGGGAGGAAGGCGAUGAGGUUAAUAACCUCGUCGAUUGACGUUACCCGCAGAAGAAGCACCGGCUAACUCCGUGCCAGCAGCCGCGGUAAUACGGAGGGUGCAAGCGUUAAUCGGAAUUACUGGGCGUAAAGCGCACGCAGGCGGUCUGUCAAGUCAGAUGUGAAAUCCCCGGGCUUAACCUGGGAACUGCAUUUGAAACUGGCAGGCUAGAGUCUUGUAGAGGGGGGUAGAAUUCCAGGUGUAGCGGUGAAAUGCGUAGAGAUCUGGAGGAAUACCGGUGGCGAAGGCGGCCCCCUGGACAAAGACUGACGCUCAGGUGCGAAAGCGUGGGGAGCAAACAGG
rnacentral:rRNA from 1 species